rnacentral:tRNA from 1 species
GGUGAUAUAGCUCAACUGGUUAGAGCGCACGACUCAUAAUCGUGAGGUUGCAGGUUCAAGUCCUGCUAUCACCACCA